rnacentral:lncRNA from 10 species
GGGGGCUGAGUCUCCAAGCUCACAUCAGCGACAGGGACCCCUGUGUGGACACAAGAUGACAUAGGAAGACCCUGUGCAGGGAGAGUUUCAAAGACAGCUUCCAAGCAGAAGUCAGCCCUGUGCUGAGAGAGAGGCAAGAAGGAGGCUGUCAUAUGAGGAAGUCACCCUAUAAAAAGAACCAGAUUUGCUUUUUGCUUGCUUGCUUUCUCUUUCUGUUCCUCCCUCCCUCCUUCUCUCUCUCUCUCUCUCUCUUUCUGUCUCUCUCUCUUUCUUCCUUUCAUUCCUAUCUGAAGAGAAGACUACUUAAUUAAUACCUGAAAGUGAUUGGAAAUCUUACAAAGUUUGCUUGAGAUUUCCUCUGGUAGUGGAAAAUUUAAAAAGACUCAACAAAGUAAGUUAACAGGUAAGUUAUUGGCUGAUAAUAGAAUUACUUUGUGUUUGCACCCUACCAAAUAAUGUAAUAGACUAAACUUUGUCUGUUUAGUCAGUAAUGCUCUGUGGGGAGGAAGCUUCUUUCAGGAAUGAGAAAAAGAGAUGAGUGCUCCAUCAAGCUGGGCUGCAUGGCAACAGCCACCAUCCAGGUUACAGAGGAGCAAAGGACAUGGUGGUGAUAAUGUGACUCCCGUUCAAGGUAAAAACUCUAGGCUAAUAAACAUUUGUUUUGUAAACGUCUAUCAUCUGAUAUGGGAUAUAAUACAAAGAUAGUCUUAAUGUCAGACAUAUGUAAAAGAGAGAGUAAAAACUUACAUACUGCAGUGCAGAUGUGCAAAAAAAUUAAACUUUCAUUUUUAUCUAUAGCCAACUACAUAUUAUUUUUGAGUUCUCACUCCUGCUGAUGUCAUAAGAAAAUGUAAGCCAAUUAAAUUCAUAUAUAUAAAAAUUUAUGCUAAUUAAAUAUAUCUCAGACUUGGCUAAUUUUAAGUGGUUUCUUCUUUCCUAAUUCAACCUCUUUUGGAUACAUAGUCAGUGAAUUCCAAAUUUAAACUCCCCAAAUAGUUGUUUUGUUUCUUUCACAAGACGACUCCUUUGUUUUCCUUCUGAAGAUGGCAGGUAGAAGUAGAGGAGGGAGGCACAGACUGGGAGUAGGGGAGGAGGCAUAGAAGGCACUUAUUCUCCUGAAGGUAACAGAGCCAGGCCUGUGAGCAAUGAGUUUCCUCGUUGGUCUCUUUGGUGCUUGGGUGGCCCGGCCUCAUUUUGGGACACCCUGGACUGCUGUCUGCUGAGGUGUGGCUAAUUCUGUCCAGCCUUUCUGAGGUAUUUUGCUGGCACCUACUGCCCAUUUUUGUGAUAUCCACUAUAUCUUUUGAACUAUUACUAUCUCUUUUUCAUAAUCUGCAGCCUUUUCAUCCAAGCCCCAGGCCUCUGCCACGGUCUUCUCAUCAUUUCUGGGCACCUGCCGCAGCCCUGGAAGUCCUGCAUUUUUGAUGUGCCCUCCCUCAGGCCCAUUUAUCUAGAAGCCUCCCUUGCACCUGCUACUUUACAGCUGCCACGAUGGAUGUGGCAAGGCCAUGGAGCCCAGCCAGACCACUACUUCCCUAGGUAGGACUGUGAGAGUCAGGAUCUGCCCCAGACUGCCACACAGUUGGAAAUCUACUAAGGAAGAUGUACAUUCUCUAGACUUGAAGCCCAAUCCAGGCCUUAGGUUGAGGUGGAUGUAAGAGAAGGUGAGGGGAGGAAAGGUGAGCAUCUUCCUCACCACACCUCCUCCCUACUCUGCUCUUACAGUAUGUCUUAGAGAUAAGUAAGAGUUCUCAAGUGGCAAGGCAUAGACACUGAAACUUCUGAGAAAAAUUAGCUAUUUUGUGUUUACAAGAUAAUGGGACCAUUUGCUUUUAUGUCAUGAAAGUGGGGAAAGUAGAGCAGGGACCAAAAAGAAAUGUGUGGAGAUUGAAGAGCUUCUCACAGCAUGCAACACAUGCAAACAGUUUUCAAAAUCACUGCUUUUCAGUCCAUGCCUAUCUUUCAGCUCAGGCCAGCAUACGGUCCUGACUUGUCCUGCUCUUCGCACUCUAGAAACUGAGAUCAGCUUGGCCAGAAAAAGGAAUGGGGUUGCCUCUCUAGGUUCUUGUUGGAUAAGACCGUACUAUUGUAUCUUUAGUGACUAGAUUGCAACACUUCAACAAUAAUCCUGCAGGACCACCUGGUCUGGCCUAGGCCUUCCUGAGGCUGCAGAGUAAGGAGAGUAUGCAUUAAGGGUGUUAAUAUGAGCUCAUCUACUAGAAGGCCUAGGCUCCUUCCCAAAUCCAGAAUUCCUCCGAGUAUCAUUUCUUCUUUGUGUCCCACAGCUCCAAAUUUCUUUGAGUUCUCUCUUCUGCACCAAACUAGCUCUGCAUCAGAUACAGUUCCCACAAAUCCCAUCUUUCUAGGUUCUCUCAAAAAUAAGCACAUAGACAAUAUUUCUUUUCACAGUUUUUCUACUAUUAUCUUUGAUGCUGUCUAACUGCAUAGUCACAAGGGAACUUCAUGAGCACAGACUCAUGAUAAAGAGAAGAUGGAGUAGGACUGCCAUUUUCUAAUUCAGCAAGAAGUCAAGAAGUAUAGGAUAGGUGUGAAGGAUGGUGAGAUCUGUAAAUGUGUAAGCUUCAUAACUUCUCUGUGACUUGCUUAGCUUUAUUCUGUUUUUUUUUUUGUUGGCAAACUGUAGCUAAGCAUGAAAUAAAAUAGAAGUUUUCAGGGUCAAUGAGAACAUUUUAUCUGGCUACAUAAAAAAGAUGAUUGCCUUUAGCAUAUUCGGUGCAUAAACUAUGUCAUGUACCAGACACUAUAGUAGGUGCUAUGAGGGAAUAAAGAUGAGUACAACACAGUAUCUGCUCUCAAGGAGGUUGCAGCUAGUUGGUGAGACUGAUUCAUAAAUAGUAGAUUGUAAUAAAAGAAAAGUUGGAAUACAGAUGAAAUGUGUUCAACAAGAGUAAAGUGAAAUUACAUCCAAUUAGGAGGUUGUCCUUGAAAGAUAAGUAGAAUAGCGAUAGAGGAACAUGAUGGCAGGGUAUUUCAUAUUAAAGGGAGAGCCUUAUCAGUAUCAAACAAGGGCAGAAGCCUAAAUAUGCUUAUAAAAUGAGGAGGUGAGCCCCGUGACUCAAGUGUGGGGUAUAUAAAAGGAUGUGGUGGGAAAGGAGUCUGGAGAGACAAAGAACCUUGGUUAUAAGUACCAUUGAGUCGUUGGGUAAGAAGUGUGGUCACUGAUGUGUCAUCAUUUGGGAAUGAUAGACUGGCUUAAACAGGGAAAUGGUAUAAAUAAAACCAGAAGAUAACUCUGGCUGGCUGUGAGUGGUGGGCCAAGAGGAAUAAUAUCCUUAGCAAAUAUUAAUAACAGUCUGGAGAGAACAAGUGAGGGCUUGAGUGGGGAGCAACAAAGAAAAACAGAGAAUCACUGAAAUGAUUUUAGUAGAACCAGAAGCCACUAUAUAUGGCAGUAUCAUUCCUUCCCCCAAAGGAAAAUCAGAGACUCCACUGUUGGGGCUACAUUUAUAGACUCAAAGAACCGACAAAUGUCAAAUCCAGAAGGGGUCCGUGAGAUUAUGUUGUUUUGGCAGGUGGAAAAACUGGGAAGCCAAGAGAGGUCUACUGACCCCAAGCUAGUACUGCAUCCACUGCUCCAGCAGUUCCUUUAGUGUAAAAGCGUAGCUUACCACCCCUGAGGUCAAGGGCCAGUGAGGGCCAACAUUUCAUGCUCUUUUUAGGUUAUAUGUACCUUAAUGUACUCAGUGUAAAUGAGUUUUAGUUCCCAUUCUUUUCUGAGGCUUUGAGGUCAGAAAAGAUCUUCUUGAAAAAGGGAUUAGAGAGGAAAGGAUGUCUGAGUAAGAGAAGAGGUGCAGAUGAGGAGAUAGGUGUAUUAGUUUCUGAGGGCUGCUAUAACAAAUUACCACAAACUGGUGGCUUCAAACAGCAGAAAUUUGAGCUGGGUUGGGUUGCGGGUGCCUAUAAUCCCACCUACUCAGGAGUCUGAGGCUGGAGGAUUUCUUGAGCCUAGGAAUUCAAGGCUGCGGUGCACUGUAAUCCUACCACUGCACUACAGCCUAACUGACAGAGCAAGAUGCCAUCUCUUAAAAAGACACACAAACACACACACACACAGAAAACAAAAUCCACAAAUUUAUUGUCUCACAGUUCUGGAAGCUAGAAGUCCAAACUCAAGGUGUUUGAUAGGAAUAGCAUUGAAUCUGUACAUUGUUUUGGCAAUGUUUUUCACAGGCUUAGAAAAAACUAUUCUUUUUUUAAAAAAAUUUAUUAUUAUUAUACUUUAAGUCUUAGGGUACGUGUGCACAACGUGCAGGUUUGUUACAUAUGUAUACAUGUGCCAUGCUGGUGUGCUGCACCCAUUAACUCGUCAUUUAGCAUUAGGUAUAUCUCCUAAAAACUAUUCUAAAAUUCAUGUGGAAUCAAAAGAGAACCAAAAUAGCCAAAGCAAUCCUAAGCAAAAAGAACCAGCCAGAAGCAUCAUGCUACCCAAAUGCAAAAUAUACUACAAGGCUACAGUAACCUAAACAGAUGGUAAUGAUACAAAAACAGACACAAAGACCAAUGGAACACAUUACAGAACCCAGAAAUAAAGCCACACACCUAUAGCCAUCUGAUCUUCGACAAAGUAAACAAUAACAAGAAAUGGCGAAAGGACUAUUCUAUUCAAUAAAUAUUGCUGGGAUAACUGGCUAGCCAUAUGCAAAAGACUGAAGCUAGACACCUUCUUUUCAUCAUCUACAAAGGUUAACUCAAGAUGGAUUAAAGAUUUAAAUUUAGGACUCCAAACUAUAAAAAUCAUAGAGGAAAACCUAGGAAAUACCGUCCUCCUUGGCAAAGAAUUUGUGGCUAAGUCCCUAAAAGCAAUUGCAACAAAAACAAAAAUUGACAAGUGUGACCUAAUUAAACUAAAGGGCUUCUGCACAGCAAAAAUCAACUCAAGAUGGGUUAAAGACUUAAAUGUAAAACCUAAAACUAUAAAAUCUCUAGAAGAUAUCAGAGGAAAUACCAUUCUAGACAUAGGCCCUGGCAAAGAUUUCACAACAAAGAUGCCAAAAGCAAUUGCAACAAAAACAAAAAUCGGCAAAUGGAACCUAAUUAAACUAAAGGACUGCUGCGCAGCAAAAGAAACUAUCAACAAAGUAAACAGACAACCUACAGAAUGGGAGGAAAUAUUUGCAAACUAUGCCUCUGACAAUGUCUAAUAUCCACAAUCUAUAAGGACCUUAAACAAAUCAACAAGCAAAAGACAACCCCAUUAAAAAUGAGCAAAAUAUAUAAACAAACACUUUUCAAAAGAAGACAUACAUGCAGCCAACAAGCAUAUAAAAAAAUUCAAUAUUACUAAUCAUUAGAGAAAUGCAAAUCAAAACCACAGUGAGAUACCAUUUCACAUCAGUCAGAAUGGAUAUUUAAAAAAAAAUCAAAAAACAACAGAUGCUGGUAAGGCUGUAGAGAAAAGACAAUGCUUAUACACUGCUGGUGGGAAUAUAAACUAUAAUAGUUCAGCCAGUUUACAUUUCCAAACUGUGGUUUGGAGAUUUCUCAAAAAACAUAAAACAGAGCUGUCAUUCAACUCAGCACUCCCAUUACUGGGUAUAUACUCAAAGGAAUAGAAAUUGUUCUACCAUAAAGACAAAUAAGGGCAAAUGUUUGUCCCAGCACUAUUCACAAUAGCAAAGACAUAGAAUUAACCUAAAUGCCCAUAAAUGGUAGACUGGAGAAAGAAAAUGUGGCACAUAUAUACCAUGGAAUACUAUGCAGCCAUAAAAAAAGAACGAGAUCAUGUCCUUUGCAGCAACAUGGGUGGAACUGGAGGCUAUUAUCCUAAGUGAAUGAACACAGGAACAGAAAACCACCCCAAUGCCACAUGUUCUCACUUAUAAGUGGGAGCUAAGCACUGAGUACACAUGGACACAAAGAAGGGAACAAUAGACACUAGGGCCUAUUCAAGGAUGUAAAGUGGAAGGAGGGUGGGGAUUGAAAAAAUAUUUUUUGAGUACUAUGCUUAUUACCUGGGCAAUGAAAUAAUCUGUACACCAAACCUCUGGUGACACACAACUUACCUAUAUAGGAAACCUGCACAUGUACCCCUUGAACCUAAAAUAUAAUUUGGAAGAAAAAAACAAAAAUGAGAUCAAGGUCUUGGUAAGGCCAUGCUCUCUCUGAAGCCUCUAAAGGAGGAUCCUUUCUUGCCUCCUCUAGCAUCUCGCAGCCACAGAAGUUUCUUGGUUUGUAGAUGCAUGAUUCUAAUCUCUGCCUCCACCUUCAUACAGCAUUACCUCUAUCAUUUGUGUCAAGUUUUCUGUUUUCAUAAGGAUAUCAGUCAUAUCGAAUUAGAGUCUACUCUAAUAAACUGACCUUAACUUGAUUUCCUUUGCAAAGACUCUAUUUCCAAAUUAAGUCACAUUCACAGGUAUUGUGGGUCAGAACUUUAACAUAUCUUUUUGAAGAGUCAUAACAGUGGAGCUCUGGAGACAAACCUGGCUGCACACUGUUUUUCCAGGUUGAAUCUAGUAGUGGGGACUCUGCAAGAAAAGGGGUAAGACUGAUUCACUCUCAGAAGAUUCUCUCUCUUUGCCAUACCUGCACGUCUGAUCUGAAUGUCAGAGGGCAAGCAAAUGGUGAACAUUGUCUUCUCAGUUAGGUAGCUGAGAAUAGCAAUGAGAUUUACAUCCUCCUGCAAUUAAACAAAGCAACUGACUACUAGGGAAAUCUUGGGGAAAUUUCUGCCCAAGGAAACUAAGAAGCUUCAUCCCAUUAGGGCAUGACGACUUGAAUUUCAGAUGCAAGGGGGAGAUAGUGUGUAUGUUUUUGUAUCAGCUGGUAGCAACAGGGCAGUCCUUUUGCCCCAUUUGUACAAUAUCCCCAUGACGAAGGCAAUUUUAUUACUCUAAAAUAAGUGAAACUUACUGAAAUGACUAAUAGACCUUAACUAGAUGACAGAAGGUCAAGGUAUAAAUGAAAGAUCCUUCCACAUAUUCAGAGUGUUGGAGUAGGAGGGAAACUUAGAAAUCAACUAGCCCAGGAGUUUUCCUUCUGUAAGAAGAAUGACCAGUUUCAGACCUGAAUGAAGGAAAAUGUUGUUGAUACUGGGGACGAUGUGUGGUAGAAGAGGAGAGAGAGAAAAAUUAGUAGAGAUUUUUGAGGCAAAGAGCCUUCCUCAUGGUUCAUUCAUGACUAUCCUUCCCUGCUUUGAAGGGGGCCUGAUGGCAGCUUCUAGUCUGUGAAUCAUUCAGUAAGGACUCAAUCUAAUUCAGUUUCUUUCUCUUCAAAUGGAAACUGAAGGCAAGAAAGAUGCAAUGACUUGGCAGGUGUCACACAGCGGGGUAGUGUCAGAGUUGCCUCUGGAACCCUGGAUCCUGAUUCUUUCUAGCUCAUUGUGGUAUCUUUCACCCACACCUUGUGACAUAACACAAAUCUGUAAGUGAGUCUUCCCAGCUUUUCAUUAACUUCCCAAUGUAAUGAGAAGAUUUUGAUAUAGUGGCUAUGGGCACUGGAUCAGGGAGCAUUAAUGUAGAUUUCUGGAAUCACGACCACCAAUAUCCACUUUGACUAUCUUCCCUGUGUGUAUUACAGCCUUCUUUUUGCACUGCUUUCUAUAAGGACAUUAUAUCAAGUGUUAAUAGCUAUUAUAUUGACAUAUUGCUUUACUGUGUGACCUUGAACAAAUUAGAUAAUCUCUUUGGACCCCAGUUUUCUUUCUUGAACAUUGACAAGUAAUGUAACUGGUAUAUUAAACAAGCAAAACUCGUGCAACUUCUCUCUGCUAAGGUAUGUUCACUUCUUUCCAAAAGUUGGCUCUCUCACAUGGGUAACCUAUAUGUGUUCAUGGAACACAAAUUAAGCAUUCUUUAUUCCAAUAAACUCUAGGAGAGCAAGGCCUAGAGGGUUGAAUCAUCUUAAUAGCUUUAUUCAGCCUUUAUUCAUGAUUUAAAACAAAAUAAAACAAAAAAACUCUCAAUAAACUAAAAAUGAAAGAAAUUUUUUAAGUUGAGAAAGGAUAAUGAUGAAGAACCUAUAGUUAUCACACUAAGAUUAGGAAAGAAUCAAUAAAUUCUAUUCUCACUGCCUGUAUUCUACAUUGUGUUAUCUGCCCUUGCCAGUGCAACGUGAAAAGACAAAAAUUAUAAAAGUCAUAAAAAUUGGAAAAAUAAAGAGGUAAAACUGCCAUUAUUUGAAGACAACUUAGUUAUGUUGAUAGAAAAUAUAUGACAUUUAUCAAAAAAACCUAUCAGAAAUAAUAAUUUAUCAAAAUUGGAGGAUUUGAGGGCAAAAUACAAAGUCAAUUUCCUUUUAAUAGGUUAGGAGCAAAGAAAUGGGAAAUAACAUUUCAAAACAACACCAUUUACAAUAGCAUCAACAUAUAUUAAGUACCUAGGAAAUGAUCUAAUGAAAUAUGUACAAAACUGCUGCACUGACAAUGUCAAAGCAUCACUGAGAGAAAUUUAAAACCUAAAUAAAUGGGGAGUUAUACCUUAUUUGUAGAUAGGCAUAUUCAAAAAUGUUAGGAAUCUAUUCUCCCUAAAUUGAUCUAUAGAUUUAGUGCAAUCCAUACUGAAAUUCCAGUAUGCUUUUUUGAACAUAUUGAAUAGCUAAUUCUAAAAUUUAUUUAAAUGCAAAGGUUUAGAAUAUCCAAAAUAAUUUUAAGAAAAUAAGAAAUGUGUAAAACGUCUUCAACACUCUGAUUUCAAGACUUAUUACCGUAAUGAAGACAGUAUGGUAUUGACAUAAUGAUGUACAAAUAGAUCAAUGGAACACAACAGAGAAUUUGGAAAUAAAACCACAUAUAAACAAUCAGUUGAUUUUUUUCUUUUUUAAAAUAUUUAUGUAUUUAUUUAUUAAUUUAUUUUUGAGAUGGGGUCUCACUCUGUCACUCAAGCUGGAGUGCAGUGGCACUGAUCUCAGCUCACUGCAACCUCCACCUCCUGGGCUCAAGCAAUCCUCCUACCUCAGCCUCCUGUGUAGCUAGGACCACAGGCACAGGCCACCACACCUGGUGAAUUUUUUGUAUUUUUGGUAAAGACGGGGUUUCACCAUGUUGCCCAGGCUAGUCUCAAACUUCUGAGCUCAAGCAAUCUGCCUGCUGCAGCCUCCCAAAAUGCUGAGAUUACAGGCAUGAGCCACCGCACCCCAGUUGAUUUUUUUUUUAAACCAAGCUGCCAAGUCAAUGCACUGAGGAGAAGAAAGACUUAUCAGCAAAUAGUGCCACGUCAACUGCAUAUCUGUAUGGAACAAAUGAACCUUGGAAUUUUUUCUGAAUAUAAUAAUAAUAAUAAUAACAAUUGAGAUAGAUCACAGACUUAAGCACAAAACACAGUUCCAUAAAGCUUCUAGAGGAAAACAUAGGAAAAUGUCUUGCUGGCCUAAGGAUAAACAGAGAUUUCUUAAAAAGGAAACAAAAAGCUUUACUCAUUUAAAGCAAUUUGAUAAAUUGGUCUUCAUCAAAAUUAAUUUUUUUCUUUUAAAGGACACAAUUUUUAAAAGAGUAGCCAGAAUAGAAAAAAGAUACUUGUCCCUUGACUAUUACAAAAAAUUCCUACAAAACAAAGGUAAAAGAUUAUGAGCAAUUCAGUUAAAAGUGGCAAAACCUUUGAACAGACACUUCACAAAAGAAGAUGUGUGAAUGUUCAAUAAGCACGUGAAAAGUUACUUAACCUCGUUCGUCAACAGGGAAACGUACACUAAAGUUACAAUGCAGUAUAUAUCAUAUCCAUCAGAAUGUCUCUAAUUGAAAAGAUUGACAACACUAAAUGUUGAUGAAGACAUACAGCAACUGGAACUUUCAUACAUUGCUAGUGAUGGUAUCAAAUGGAACAGUAACUUUGAAGGACUGUUCAAUAUUUCCAAAAUUAAACAUACACCUACCCUGUGACCCAGCAAUUCCCUUCCUAAAGUUUAUUCCAGAUAAAUAAAAAUUUAUGUCCUAAAAAGACUUGUACAAAAAUGCAUAUAAUGAUCUUACUCAUCAUAGCCAAAAACUAGAAAUGACCUAAACGUUCGUUAACAGGAGGAUAAAUAAAUUUCAAUAUAUUCAUAUAGUGGUGAAAUAUUUAACAAUUUUAAAAGGUAAACUACUGUUACAUACAACAACAUGAAUGAUUUUCACAAACAUUAUAUCAAAUGAAACAAAGCAGAACAAAAAAGAAUACACUGUAUGAUUCCAUUUAUAUGAUGUCUAACAUCAAGCAAAACUAACUGAUAGUAGUAAAAAUCAGAAAAAAGUUGCUCCAGGGUGAGAAAUGUGUACUGAACAGAAGGAGGGAUAAGAGAAUUUCUUGGUGUGAUGUAUGUUCUAUAUUGGAGGGUAGAUAGAUAAAUGGGUAGAUACGGUUGGUCAAAAUAUAGAUAUAGGCAUAGAUAGAUGUGGAUGUAUAUAUGAAAUAGUGGAUUGAUUCCACAAAUAAUUAUUGAUCAGCUACUAUGUACAAGGUACUGCUGUGGACACUGGGGAUCCAUUAGUGAUUAACACAGACAAAAACUCUUCUUUCUCAAUGGGGUUCACAUUCCAGUCAGCAUGUAAUUAAAUUAAUUAGCUGCAUUAUUAUUUGAAAUAGGUAACAAUUGGAAACAAUCUUUAUGUCCAUCAAGAGGAAAGUUUAAAUAACUUAUGUUACAUCCUUGUGAUGGGAUAUUAUUCAGCUAUAAAAGUGAAUAAAUUUUUUAUAUACUGGUGAGAAUAAUCUUUAAGACUUCUUGUUUACUGAAGAUAGCAAGAUACAGUAAAAUGUGUAUAGUGUGCAGCCAUUUGUACAAAAAUGAGAAGCAAACAUAUAUGUACUUAGCUAUCUGUUUAUGUAUAAAAUUUCUCUGAAGUAUUACUUAAGCAAUUGAUAAGAUAGGUUGCUUCCAAAAGAUAAAAACUACAGGAUAGGAGUGCAUGAUCUUUUAUACAUUUUAAGUUUGGAGCCAUGUAAAUAUAUAACCUAUAAGCAAAUAAAUAAAACAAAAAUUGUUUAAAAUAUUUUACAAUUGGAGAAAGCAAACACGUAUUUCUUUUUUUAUUAAACUUUAAGUUCUAGGGUACAUGUGCACAACGUGCAGGUUUAUUACAUAUGUAUACAUGUGUCACGUUGGUAUGCUGC